UGGGGAAUAUUGCACAAUGGGCGCAAGCCUGAUGCAGCCAUGCCGCGUGUAUGAAGAAGGCCUUCGGGUUGUAAAGUACUUUCAGUGGGGAGGAAGGUGGUAAGGUUAAUAACCUUAUCAAUUGACGUUACCGACAGAAGAAGCACCGGCUAACUCCGUGCCAGCAGCCGCGGUAAUACGGAGGGUGCAAGCGUUAAUCGGAAUUACUGGGCGUAAAGCGCACGCAGGCGGUUGAUUGAGUCAGAUGUGAAAUCCCCGGGCUUAACCCGGGAAUUGCAUCUGAUACUGGUCAGCUAGAGUCUUGUAGAGGGGGGUAGAAUUCCAUGUGUAGCGGUGAAAUGCGUAGAGAUGUGGGGGAAUACCGGUGGCGAAGGCGGCCCCCUGGACAAAGACUGACGCUCAGGUGCGAAAGCGUGGGGAGCAAACAGG
rnacentral:rRNA from 1 species